rnacentral:rRNA from 1 species
UACGUAGGGUCCGAGCGUUGUCCGGAAUUAUUGGGCGUAAAGGGCUCGUAGGCGGUUCGUCACGUCGGGAGUGAAAACCCGGGGCUCAACCCCGGGCCUGCAUUCGAUACGGGCAGACUAGAGUUCGGUAGGGGAGUCUGGAAUUCCUGGUGUAGCGGUGAAAUGCGCAGAUAUCAGGAGGAACACCGGUGGCGAAGGCGGGACUCUGGGCCGAUACUGACGCUGAGGAGCGAAAGCGUGGGGAGCAAACAGG